AACUUAUUAACUUAGUGGUUAGAGUAUUAGUCUCCAAUUCUAAGGUGCUUGAGUUCAAAUCUUGAUAGUGAUUAGUCA